AAGACUAUACUUUCAGGGAUCAUUUCUAUAGUUAUCGACUUGAGAAAUGUGUUUCUAAAGUGUACGAUCUCACUAUCCACGAUGAUGAGACGUGAUAUUCCUUCCUGAACGUGAAGCGGGCUGAGAGUAGUGAUUCUAUCAUAUGCUCUCAGUCAUUGAUGACCGUUCUAUGCUUCAUUUAUGGAGCAUUGAGGGAAGGAAUAUGACCAGAGUGGA